CAGGCCUAACACAUGCAAGUCGAACGAGACCUUCGGGUCUAGUGGCGCACGGGUGCGUAACGCGUGGGAACCUGCCUUUAGGUUCGGAAUAACAGUGAGAAAUUACUGCUAAUACCGGAUAAUGUCUUCGGACCAAAGAUUUAUCGCCUUUAGAUGGGCCCGCGUUGGAUUAGCUAGUUGGUGGGGUAAAGGCCUACCAAGGCGACGAUCCAUAGCUGGUCUGAGAGGAUGAUCAGCCACACUGGGACUGAGACACGGCCCAGACUCCUACGGGAGGCAGCAGUGGGGAAUAUUGGACAAUGGGCGAAAGCUGAUCCAGCAAUGCCGCGUGAGUGAUGAAGGCCUUAGGGUUGUAAAGCUCUUUUACUGGGGAUGAUAAUGACAGUACCCAGAGAAUAAGCUCCGGCUAACUCCGUGCCAGCAGCCGCGGUAAUACGGAGGGAGCUAGCGUUGUUCGGAAUUACUGGGCGUAAAGCGCACGUAGGCGGCUUUUUAAGUCAGGGGUGAAAUCCCGGGGCUCAACCCCGGAACUGCCCUUGAMACUGGGAAGCUAGAAUCUUGGAGAGGCGAGUGGAAUUCCGAGUGUAGAGGUGAAAUUCGUAGAUAUUCGGAAGAACACCAGUGGCGAAGGCGACUCGCUGGACAAGUAUUGACGCUGAGGUGCGAAACGUGGGGGAGCAAACAGGAUUAGAUACCCUGGUAGUCCACGCCGUAAACGAUGAUAACUAGUUGUUCGGGCUCAUAGAGCUUGAGUGACGCAGCUAACGCAUUAAGUUAUCCGCCUGGGGAGUACGGUCGCAAGAUUAAAACUCAAAGGAAUUGACGGGGGCCUGCACAA
rnacentral:rRNA from 1 species